rnacentral:rRNA from 1 species
CAGUAGCCGCGGUAAUACGAAGGGUGCAAGCGUUAACCGGAAUUACUGGGCGUAAGGCGUGCGUAGGCGGUUUGUUAAGUCUGUUGUGAAAUCCCCGGGCUCAACCUGGGAAUGGCAAUGGAUACUGGCAAGCUAGAGUGUGUCAGAGGAUGGUGGAAUUCCCGGUGUAGCAGUGAAAUGCGUAGAGAUGUGGAGGAACACCGAUGGCGAAGGCAGCCCCCUGGGCCAAUACUGGCGCUCAUGCACGAAAGCGUGGGGAGCAAACAGGAUUAGAUACCCCAGUAGUCCCUGUCUCUUAUAC